rnacentral:rRNA from 1 species
GAUGAACGCUGGCGGCGUGCCUAAUACAUGCAAGUCGAGCGAACAGACGAGGAGCUUGCUCCUCGGACGUUAGCGGCGGGCGGGUGAGUAACACGUGGAUAACCUACCUAUAAGACUGGUAUAACUUCGGGAAACCGGAUCUAAUACCGUAUAAUAUAUUUAACCACAUGGUUCAAUUGUGAAAUACUUUUUUUCUGUCACUUAUAGAUGGAUCCGCGCCGCAUUAGCUAGUUGUUAAGGUAAAGGCUUACCAAGGCAACGAUGCGUAGCCGACCUGAGAGGGUGAUCAGCCACACUGGAACGGAGACACGCUACAGAGUCCUUGGGGAGGCAGCCGUAGGGAAUCUUGCGGCAUGGGCGAAAGACUGAGGGAGCAACGCCGCGUGAGUGAUGAAGGUCUUCGGAUCGUAAAACUCUGUUAUUAGGGAAGAACAAAUGUGUAAGAAAGAAUGAACGUAUUGAAGGUAACUAAUAAGAAAGCCACGGCUAACUACGUG